rnacentral:lncRNA from 1 species
AUGGUUCUGGAGGUGGCACUCCUCUCUUCUGACUUUUUUUCCUCUUUUGGAUGAGCUUUGGGUUUGUCCUGCUCUUCUUUUUCUAGAAUCUUGAGCUUCAGCAAUAGGUUGUUUAUUUGAGCUCAUUAUGUUUUUCCUAGUAUGAGUAUUCACUGCUAUGAAUUUCUCUUAUAAGACUGCUUUCAUUCUGUCCCAUAGAUUAAGAUAUGUUGUAUUGGCUUUUUCAUUUAAUUGUGGAAAUUAUCUUAUUUCUUCUUUAAUUUCCAUUGUGACCCAUUGGUUAUUCAAAAGUGUGUUGUUCAAUUUCCAUGUAUUUAUGAAAUUCUUGUGGUUUCUUUUGCUAUUAAUCUCCAAUUUCAUUGCACUAUGGUCUAAUAAUACAGAGGAGAUAACGUCAAUUCCUUUGCACUUACUACAAUAUGCUCUAUACUGUAGUACAUGGUCUAUUUUGGAGAACAACCCAUGUGCAGCCAAAGGGAAUACGUGUUCUGAUUUUGUGGGGUGUCACACUCUGUAAACAUCUGUUAAGUCCAUUUCUUCAAGAGUUUGAUUUAUAGUAUUUCAAUGUUUAUUUUUUGUCUAGUUGAUCUAUCUGUUUGUGACACUGGGGUAUUGAGGUCCCAACUAUGAUUGUAUUAGUGCUUAUUUGAUUUUUCAUGUCUGUUACUAUUUGUUUUAUAUAAUUGGCCACACUAUUGUUUGGUGCAUAUAUAUUUAUGAUUGUCAUCUCUCCCUCUUGGAUUGUUCCCUUUACAAGCAUUUAGUGUCCUUUGUCUCUCUUAAUUAGUGUUGGUUUGAAAUCCAUUUGAUCUGCAAAGAGGAUAGCUACUUUUGUUUUCUUUUGGGUUACUGUCACAUGAAGUAUUGUUCUGCACCCUUUAACUUUCAGUCUAUGAGUUUCUUUUUGGAUUAAGUGUGUUUCUUGUAUGCAGCGUAUUGUUGCAUCUUGCUUCUUGACCCAUUGUGCCAGUCUGUUUCUUUUGAUUGGUGAAUUGAGACCAUUACCAUUGAUGGUUGUAAUUGAUAUGUAUUACUUAUCCUUGUCAUGAAUUUUCUCUUUGUUGGCUAAUUCUUGCAUUUAAUUCUGUAUGGUGCCUGAUAUAUUCAUUCUGCUGGGCUUCCUGGGGUUGUGAUCCUCAUUGUCUUUUCCUAGGAUAUUGUUUAAGGUUUUUUUUGAGUACUGGUUAGGUAUUCAUGAAGUUCCUCAGGUGUUCUUUGUCAUGAAAGUAUCUUAUUUCUCCAUCAGUUUGAAAGAUUGUUUUGCAAGGUACAUCAAUCUGGCUUGAAGGUUUUUUUUUUAGGGCUUGAAAUGUUUCACUUAAGGCUCUUCUUGCCUUAAGGGUUUGUGUUGAAAAAUCUGUUGUGAUUCUGAUGGGCUUUCCUUUGUAUGUGAUUUGUCUCUUUUCUCUAACUGCUUGUAGAAUUUUGUUCUACUGUUGGGUUUCUGGAAUCUAAGCUAUUUUUUUUUUUUUUUUUUUUGGUACUGGGGAUCAAAAUUGGGACUUUGUGCUUGCAAGGCAGGUGGUGGAACCACUGAGCCAAAUCCCCAGCCCUGAUGGAAUCUUAACUAUUAUGUGCCUACAUAUAGAUUUUUUUUAUCAUGACUAGUUGGAGUUCCAUAUGCCUUGCUGAUCUGUAUGUCAAAUACUUUUCUCCUGCUUGGGAAGUUUUCUGCCAUCACUUCUGUGAAGUUUUUUUCUGUUGUUUGCACUCUCUCCUUUUUUACAUUGACUCCUAUGAGUCAUAUCAUUCUUGUUUGCAUCAUCUAGCAGCUGCUGGAUUGAUUACUCAUGGUCUCUUACUUUUUUUAAGAAAUUUUUUUCCUGGUCACUAAUUGCAAUUUUAUCUUUUGUUUGUUUGUUUUUAAGAGUAAGAAAAAUUUAUUCAGCAAAAGAAACCAUCUGUCUAAGAGAGACAGAAGGGGGACUGGAAAGUAGGUUGCCCACCCACCCCACUUUUCAGUGAUGUUUUAUACAGCAAAGCCAGGUGGAGAAGCAGGUUUAAAGUGGGACAAAAUGAUAAGACCAAUGGAAAUUUACAAGGUGGGCAUGAGGUGGGACAAAGCCAUGACCAACCAGUAAGAUUACAAGUACAGUCACUAGGUAAUAAUGACUAAAUGGGGGCCAAAAGGGGGAGAAAAUCAUGCAGCAAGCAUACAAGGAUUUUCAGUAAGGGUGGGUCAGGGAUAUUUCCCAGAGAGUGUGGGUUAAGACCUUGCCCCCCACCUAGGUGAUUGAUACCUAUUUAGAAUAUCAAUCACUGCUAUUCAUCCUACAUGGAUGUGGUAGUUUCUCUCCUUUUACAGUCCUGGCCUUCAGUGAAUGUGUCUUCACUGUCUUCCAUGUUGGCUCCUUAUGGGCUGUUCCUGUCUAACUCUCUACAGGAUAUCUAAUUAACUUGCCUAUCUACAAUACUCCCCCCUCUGAAACUGUGAGGGGGCAAGGGCAAAGACCAUUCUGGCUACUUCCAGCUGAAGAGGGUUGUAUUUGUGGUCAGCAGUCAGAGUUACUCUACACAGGUUUAGUCAUAACAAUCAUGUUUAGAGAAGGAAGCGUUGCUAGCAAACCAAGAUAUUUAAACCACUGUUUUUUAGUUCUUUGAAAGAGAGAGAGGAAAAUAGAUUAACAGUCAAAUUAGGGCAUUUUUUCUCCAAAAGAGAUCACUUCCAGAGAUGGUAGGUCAGAAAUUCUGCCUUGGGCUCCAGGGCAGAGAAAGCUCUGAGAAAUUUCUGUUGUCUAUCCAGUCAUUUAGGCAACUUUCAUUAGCAGCAAGACAAGGCUACUCCUUUAGGGUCCAUUUUAAAUUCACUGAGUAUUUGAAACUCAUAGGUCCUCCUAGCAGCCACAAUCUACAUAGUAAAGGCACCUUUAUCAACUUCCUAUGCACCCAUGAAGGAAGAGAAAGACUGACCAAAAUAGUCCCAUAUGCUUGUUAGCCAAUAAAAACACAAAUGCAAGUUACUGAUUGCUAUUUUCCCUAGUGUGAAACAAACAGUUGUUGCAAGUUGCCUUAGUCUGACUUUCUGGAAGGAGGAGCAGUCUGACUACAAGGAAUUCUCAAAUGAGCUCCCAAAAGUUGGAGAAAAGUUUAAGGGGAGUUUAACUCACUAGCAGAAAGAAAAAAAUCUAAUUAAAGUUCAAGCCGUUUACAUACCCAAAAAUCAUCAUAUACCAUUUCAUAAGUCCACAGUCACAGUCAAUGCUCUAAAGUCCAUAACCUAUCGAAAAAGGCAUUUUUCUCCCCUAUACACAUAAAUGAUGAAGACCAUGCCUAGGAGGAGGAGAGAAGGUUCAGGUAGUUUUCAAUCUAUCAAAGAUUUGUUUUUUAUGUCUGACAUAGGAUCCUAUCUUACUAGUAGAGAAAGCAGUCCAAACCUGUAGCUCAACUCUUAAUGGAGGCUUAAGAAAGGGCUCUGGUGCCAUCAUUACAGAUCACCCUGAGACAGAGGAUAUCUGACUACCAUUGACAGAGUUCCCCUUUCACCUCACUGAGGAGUCCAGAUAGAGAAGAGAUGGGGAGAUUUUCUGCUGAUUACCCAGAUGCAGCCUGCUGCACCUUUGUUGAGGUGACCUUUUGCUCAUCCAGUUGUCUUCAGUCCUCAGCAAGCCAAGAGGCCUUUUCUCUGCUGCUCACCACUGAGCCAAUUCCUGGGUUCAGAUUGGUGGCCUUCUGGAUCCCUGAGCUGACCUUUUGUCUGGGCGGGGUUCUUGCUGGGGCCUGUGCACACUUGGGAUGGUAUCUGGGUGGUCCUCUGGCGUUGCUUGUGCACCUGUGCAGCUCUUUUCCAGGUGGGCCUUUGGCUGGGACUUAUGAGCCCAAGCUGCUAGGGUCUGGGCAGGGCCCUGGCUGAGACCUGGCCACACCAGUUCAGCUCUGGUCCAUGUGUGCUUCUUUCUGGGAUCUGUGCCCACUUACUGAUGGAAUCUGGGUGAGCAUCUGGCUGUUGCUUGUGCACCUGUGCAGCUCUUUUCAGGGUAGGUUUCUGCCUGGGAUCUGCAUCCCCCCAUGCAGCUCUGGUCUACAUGGGUUUCUUGCUGGGUUCUGUGUGCACUUAUCAAUGGGAUCUGGUGGGUCUCUGGCUGUUGCUUGUGUGCUUGUGCAGCUCUUUUCAGUGUGGGGCCCUAUCUGGGAUUUGCAUGCCCCCGUGCAGCUCUGGUCCAGGCAAGCUUCUCUACUUCUUUCCAUUCUUGAUCAGAGGGAGCGAGUGCCUCUUAUCUUCAUUGUCCUUGUAAGUGAACACUCAUUUUCUCGGUCCUUACCUCAAGAGUUUUUAGUUACUGGAAAGGAGAAAAGAUCUUAAAGCUACAAAAGUUGUAGACAAAGGAGAGAGACCAACCUUAGGAAGGAACUGAUGUGCUUAAAGAAAAUUCCACCAAAAAAAGUGCUACCAUGACUUUUUUUGCCAUAUGAUCUAGAAAUUCAGGGCCCAGCCCCAAACCACUGCAGCAGCCAACUGAAGCCCCAGUGCAAGGGGCAAGGCCGGUUGCUCCCUCCCCAGUCUCAGAGAUAUGCAGUCCCUGAAUUGGGUCCCUUGUCACCCACCCACAGGGGCCAACCUGGAGGCUUGGCCAUCACUAAUCUGUGGCCAAAGACUACAAACCUGGGUAUAGACCCUGUCCUGCAUUGUUUUUUGAUUUCCCAGUCAGGGAUCCAAAAUAUGUUGUAUCUUGGGGGUGAGGUGGGGGAGGUAUGCACUGCUGCUCUGCUAGAACAGUCAACUAACCAGGAUCAUAAACUCAGCACCAAUGACUAAUUAAAGGAGCAAAGUUUAACAUAAAGAUGAUUUAUUCAAUAAAAAAGGGUGUUAUGGCUUGUGUCUAGAUGUCCCCCCAAAGCCUCAUGCAGUCAUAGGUGGGGUUUUAUCAGAGGUGGCUAAAUCUAGAAUGUGUGAUGCUGGGAUUAAGGGUGUGUGAUUACUAAAUCAGUCCACUGAUUGGUUUGGCACCCACCCUAAGCCCAGUAUUCUACAUAGAAUAUAAAAGGGACAGAAAGAAGCUGCUAAGGUUGCUUGGACUUGGUUAUUCACUGCUUUGUUGCUUUGCUGCAUUCUGCCUGUCAUGAACUGUUUCUUCUCUGUGGUGUCCAUCUGCGAGGCCAUCCUGCCUUGGAUCCAGUCAGUUAUGGACUAAAACCUCUACAAAAUGUAAGCCAAAAUAAACUUUUCCUCCUUUAACUUUGAGUAUUGGGUAUUUUGUCUCAGCAAUUAGAAAAGCAAUUAAGACAGGAGGAAAGGAAAAGAGUAGGGGGCAACAGAAAGAAUAAGAAUUUUUAGGUGACUACCCUUUGUCUCCUUUACAUAUUACUCCAGGUAUAUGAGGGAUGUGAGUUACCUUGUUCUUUCAUGUUUCUGGUUUCAUCUCUGCCUUGUCUGAUAAAUUCUUAUGUUAAUGAUAAAUUUUUAUAUCCUGACAAAUUCUUAUGUUAAUUUCUGGGCCUGAUUUCUCUCCCUUUUUUGCUUUUGUCUUU